rnacentral:rRNA from 1 species
AUGAACGCUAGCGGCAGGCUUAACACAUGCAAGUCGAGGGGCAGCAUGGAGUUUGCUUGCAAACUCUGAUGGCGACCGGCGCACGGGUGAGUAACGCGUAUCCAACCUGCCCAUUACUCGGGCAUAGCCCAGUGAAAACUGGAUUAACUCCCGAUGCUGUUCUGAUUGGGCAUCUUAUCAGGACAAAAGUUUACGGUAAUGGAUGGGGAUGCGUCUGAUUAGGUAGUAGGCGGGGUAACGGCCCACCUAGCCGACGAUCAGUAGGGGUUCUGAGAGGAAGGUCCCCCACACUGGAACUGAGACACGGACCAGACUCCUACGGGAGGCAGCAGUGAGGAAUAUUGGUCAAUGGGCGGAAGCCUGAACCAGCCAAGUAGCGUGAAGGAUUACUGCCCUACGGGUUUUAAACUUCUUUUAUGCGAGAGUAAUGUGCGCUACGUGUAGCGUAUUGCAAGUAUCGCAUGAAUAAGCAUCGGCUAACUCCGUG